UGCAGUCCUCCUGCAGUUUGCCACAUAAUGCCCAAGAAAAUCCUGGCUCCAGACUGGAGGGAAAUUCAAGCAAGGCAACUUCCUUGCAACCGCUACCAAGAGCCUUGCCUGUACUCUUGUCCUGUGUUUUGAAAGCAGAGGGACGCUGUGAAGGAUUUUCAAUU